UGUCCCAGUUCGGACUGGAGUCUGCAACCCGACUCCACGAAGUUGGAUUCGCUAGUAAUCGCGCAUCAGCCAUGGCGCGGUGAAUACGUUCCCGGGCCUUGUACACACCGCCCGUCAAGCCAUGGGAGCCGGGGGCGCCUGAAGUCCGGGACCGCGAGGACCGGCCUAGGGGCGAAACUGGUAACUGGGGCUAAGUCGUAACAAGGUAAC
rnacentral:rRNA from 1 species